UAGAUACUCCCUCCGUCCGGAAAUACUUGUCAUCAAAAUGGAUAAAAGGGGAUGCAUCUAGUCGUAUUUUAGUUCUAGAUACAUCUCUUUUUAUCCAUUUUGAUGACAAGUAUUUUCGGACGGAGGGAGUACAAA
rfam:Triticum aestivum genome assembly, contig: Triticum_aestivum_CS42_TGACv1_scaffold_424735_5BS